GACGAACGCUGGCGGCGUGCUUAACACAUGCAAGUCGAACGGAAAGGCCCUGCUUUUGUGGGGUGCUCGAGUGGCGAACGGGUGAGUAACACGUGAGUAACCUGCCCUUGACUUUGGGAUAACUUCAGGAAACUGGGGCUAAUAUCGGAUAGGAGCUCCUGAUGCAUGGUGGGGGUUGGAAAGGUUCGGCGGUUGGGGAUGGACUCGCAGCUUAUCAGCUUGUUGGUGGGGUAGUGGCUUACCAAGGCUUUGACGGGUAGCCGGCCUGAGAGGGUGACCGGCCACAUUGGGACUAAGAUACGGCCCAGACUCCUACGGGAGGCAGCAGUGGGGAAUAUUGCACAAUGGGCGGAAGCCUGAUGCAGCAACGCCGCGUGCGGGAUGACGGCCUUCGGGUUGUAAACCGCUUUCGCCUGUGACGAAGCGUGAGUGACGGUAAUGGGUAAAGAAGCACCGGCUAACUACGUG
rnacentral:rRNA from 1 species